rnacentral:rRNA from 1 species
GACGAACGCUGGCGGCGUGCCUAACACAUGCAAGUCGAGCGGAGAUGUACUGAAGAUUUAUCGGAUGUACAUCUUAGCGGCGGACGGGUGAGUAACGCGUGGGCAACCUGCCUUUCACUGGGGGAUAACACAGGGAAACCUGUGCUAAUACCGCAUGACAUCACGUAGGGCAUCCUAUGUGAUCAAAGGAGAGAUCCGGUGGAAGAUGGGCCCGCGUCCAAUUAGCUGGUUGGUGAGGUAAAGGCUCACCAAGGCGACGAUUGGUAGCCGAACUGAGAGGUUGAUCGGCCACAUUGGGACUGAGACACGGCCCAGACUCCUACGGGAGGCAGCAGUGGGGAAUAUUGCGCAAUGGGGGAACCCUGACGCAGCAACGCCGCGUGAAGGAGAAGGUCUUCGGAUUGUAAACUUCUUUGAUGAGGGACGAAUAAAGUGACGGUACCUCGAAAACAAGCCACGGCUAACUACGUAGCCAGCAGCCGCGGUAAUCACGUAG